AGGCGGAGUCAGGAUUUUUGAAGUUUAUGGGUUCUGAACUUGCCACUGAACUCAUAACUCGUUUUCGUUACUACAAAAUAUUUGCAAAUAUAGGGUCUGAGCCAAGCUUUUGUGCUUGUGUGGACCCGUGCUUGUACUAUAGCUCCGCCCCUGAAACCUUUUGUGCUCGUGUGAACCCGUGCUUGUACUAUGGCUCUGACCCUCAAAGCUUUUGUGCUUGUGUGGACCUGUGAUUGUACUAUAGCUCCGCCCCUGAAACCUUUUGUGCUUGUGUGGACCCGUGCUUGUACUAUGGCUCCGCCCCUAAAUCUUGAUUAUAACUUCUUGUUUUCAUAGGCUGAGUCUACAAACCCAUCGAACGAGUCUGUGCUGAAAGUUGCCCUUGAUCGCGGGAAGGCCUCGGGAGUUGUGAAGUCCCACGACCGAGUUGUCGUGUGCCAGAAAGUCGGAGACGCGGCGGUGGUUAAGAUUAUUGAACUUGAAGAUUAAGCUUUUAGUUGUUCUCAUGCCCAUCACAAAUGAAGUUCUACUAUCUAAGUUUUGGUAGCUACAAUACGUGUUAUUCUAUAGUUGUAUGUAUCACGCUAAGUUGCACGGACUAUUCACUUUCAAUGCCGCACCCGUGUCGGAUUCUUCAAAAAUACACUUGCUUUGGAGAAUCCGACACGCAUCUGUUGACGUUUUUGAAGAAUCCGAGCAACAUCGGGUAUAAUGUGGCAAUUCUUGUGGACAAAACUUGCAAUAAUUGUGAAAAUUAUGGGGAAAAAGGUAUAAUGUUCUAUUUUUAGUUUAUUACCAAAUAUGUUUUAAUAAACAACAACAACAACAUACUAAUGUAAUUUCAUAAGUGGGAUCUCGAAACUGUAGGAUCUAUGAAAAUUUUAUUCCACCAUUCGUGGGGGCGGAGAGAUCGUUUCUGAUAGAUCAGGCUCGAAAGAAAUGUGUUCGAGAAAAUGUAAAGAAACAUGAAUUUCAUAUUUUAGACGUGAUUUUUGGAUUUGAAGUUUAUGAAAUUUGACUUGUUAUA
rnacentral:lncRNA from 1 species